rnacentral:rRNA from 1 species
GACGAACGCUGGCGGCGUGCUUAACACAUGCAAGUCGAACGGAAAGGCCCUGCUUUUGUGGGGUGCUCGAGUGGCGAACGGGUGAGUAACACGUGAGUAACCUGCCCUUGACUUUGGGAUAACUUCAGGAAACUGGGGCUAAUACCGGAUAGGAGCUCCUGCUGCAUGGUGGGGGUUGGAAAGUUUCGGCGGUUGGGGAUGGACUCGCGGAUUAUCAGCUUGUUGGUGGGGUAGUGGCUUACCAAGGCUUUGACGGGUAGCCGGCCUGAGAGGGUGACCGGCCACAUUGGGACUGAGAUACGGCCCAGACUCAUACGGGAGGCAAGAGUGGGGAAUAUUGCACAAUGGGCGGAAGCAUGAUGCAGCAACGCCGGGUGCGGGAGGACGGCAUUCGGGUGGUAAACCGCUUUCGCCUGUGACGAAGCGUGAGUGAGGGUAAUGGGGAAAGAAGCACCGGCAAACUACGU